AGAACGAACGCUGGCGGCAUGCCUAAUACAUGCAAGUCGAACGAACUCUUCGGAGUUAGUGGCGCACGGGUGCGUAACGCGUGGGAAUCUGCCCCUUGGUUCGGAAUAACAGUUGGAAACGACUGCUAAUACCGGAUGAUGACGAAAGUCCAAAGAUUUAUCGCCAAGGGAUGAGCCCGCGUAGGAUUAGCUAGUUGGUGAGGUAAAGGCUCACCAAGGCAACGAUCCUUAGCUGGUCUGAGAGGAUGAUCAGCCACACUGGGACUGAGACACGGCCCAGACUCCUACGGGAGGCAGCAGUAGGGAAUUUGGACAAUGGGCGCAAGCCUGAUCCAGCAAUGCCGCGUGCAGGAUGAAGGCCUUCGGGUUGUAAACUGUCUUUUGUACGGAACGAAAGGUCCUUUACUAAUACAAGGGCCAGUGACGUACCGUAAGAAUAAGCACCGGCUAACUACGUGCCAGCAGCUGAC
rnacentral:rRNA from 1 species